CAAGUAUCCACAACUUAUCGGUUGUUCAGGCGAGAAGAGCCUCGGAUGAGGGUCUGUAGCUCAGCUGGUUAGAGCACCGUCUUGAUAAGGCGGGGGUCGUUGGUUCGAACCCAACCAGACCCACCAAAUCAAGGGUUGCUCGAGACGGAGGGGCUGUAGCUCAGCUGGGAGAGCGGCGGCUUUGCAAGCCGUAGGUCGUCGGUUCGAUCCCGACCAGCUCCACCAGGACUCAAGGCGAGAAGUAAGAGAUGCCGACUGUAGCGGUUCGCAGUGGUCGUCAUCUCUUACUUCUUGGUCGGUCGCUUCGGCGGUCGGGCGCAGAGGUUUGCUCUUUAACAAAGUGGAAGAAGUGUAGUACGUACCGAGCCGGUGCGUACUGCAAGUUGUGUGAUUGCAUUGAUCCGGCGCUGAGCUUGUCAGCGUAGUGCCGGGUCGCACAAACGAGUUCGUUCCUGUACGUGGGCCUUCGCGGUGGCAGCAUCGCAGAGGGUUCAAGGUUAUAGGAUCAAGCGACUAAGUGCAUGUG
rnacentral:tRNA from 1 species